ACACGACUACAUUAGAUACCCGUGUAGUCCUAGCCGUAAACGAUACUCGCUAGGUGUCGGCCACGGUGCGACCGUUGUCGGUGCCGUAGGGAAGCCGUGAAGCGAGCCACCUGGGAAGUACGGCCGCAAGGCUGAAACUUAAAGGAAUUGGCGGGGGAGCACAACAACGGGUGGAGCUUGCGGUUUAAUUGGAUUCAACGCCGGAAAUCUUACUGGGACCGACAGCAACAUGAAGGCCAAGCUGAAGACUUUGCCGGAUUAGCUG
rnacentral:rRNA from 1 species